GCAGGCGUAGUUCAUUGGUAGAACAUCAGCUUCCCAAGCUGAGGAGGCGGGUUCGAUUCCCGUCGCCUGCU
rnacentral:tRNA from 4 species